AGUGAACGCUGGCGGUAGGCCUAACACAUGCAAGUCGAACGGCAGCACAGUAAGAGCUUGCUCUUACGGGUGGCGAGUGGCGGACGGGUGAGGAAUACAUCGGAAUCUACUUUUUCGUGGGGGAUAACGUAGGGAAACUUACGCUAAUACCGCAUACGACCUACGGGUGAAAGCAGGGGAUCUUCGGACCUUGCGCGAUUGAAUGAGCCGAUGUCGGAUUAGCUAGUUGGCGGGGUAAAGGCCCACCAAGGCGACGAUCCGUAGCUGGUCUGAGAGGAUGAUCGGCCACACUGGAACUGAGACACGGUCCAGACUCCUACGGGAGGCAGCAGUGGGGAAUAUUGGGCAAUGGGCGCAAGCCUGAUCCAGCCAUACCGCGUGGGUGAAGAAGGCCUUCGGGUUGUAAAGCCCUUUUGUUGGGAGAGAAAAGCAGCAGGUUAAUACCCCGCUGUUCUGACGGUACCCAAAGAAUAAGCACCGGCUAACUUCGUG
rnacentral:rRNA from 1 species